AUUGAACGCUGGCGGCAUGCCUUACACAUGCAAGUCGAACGGUAACGGGCCUUCGGGUGCCGACGAGUGGCGAACGGGUGAGUAAUACAUCGGAGCGUGCCCGAUCGUGGGGGAUAACGAGGCGAAAGCUUUGCUAAUACCGCAUACGAUCUACGGAUGAAAGCAGGGGACCGCAAGGCCUUGCGCGGACGGAGCGGCCGAUGGCAGAUUAGGUAGUUGGUGGGAUAAAAGCUUACCAAGCCGACGAUCUGUAGCUGGUCUGAGAGGAUGAUCAGCCACACUGGGACUGAGACACGGCCCAGACUCCUACGGGAGGCAGCAGUGGGGAAUUUUGGACAAUGGGCGCAAGCCUGAUCCAGCCAUGCCGCGUGCAGGAUGAAGGCCUUCGGGUUGUAAACUGCUUUUGUACGGAACGAAAAGCCUUCUUUUAAUACAGGAGGGUCAUGACGGUACCGUAAGAAUAAGCACCGGCUAACUACGU
rnacentral:rRNA from 1 species